UACGUAGGUGGCAAGCGUUGUCCGGAAUUAUUGGGCGUAAAGCGCGCGCAGGCGGUCCUUUAAGUCUGAUGUGAAAGCCCACGGCUCAACCGUGGAGGGUCAUUGGAAACUGGGGGACUUGAGUGCAGACGAGGAAAGUGGAAUUCCAAGUGUAGCGGUGAAAUGCGUAGAGAUUUGGAGGAACACCAGUGGCGAAGGCGACUUUCUGGUCUGUAACUGACGCUGAGGCGCGAAAGCGUGGGGAGCAAACAGG
rnacentral:rRNA from 1 species